AGAUAGGAACCUUGUGGAGAGAAAGAUAGGAGCUUUGUGUGAAGACAGGGAGAGAGAGAUAGCUCACUUAAGAGAGAUAUUUUUAGAAAUGGAUGAAACUGAGCUCAUAAGACCAACAAGAACCACUGAGAACAUUAACUUUCUUUCGAGGCCAUGGAUGGUCACCUUGCUUAUCAUAGGACUCUAUGUCUCCAUUGGCACUUUUAUUGGUUUGCGCCAGUGCUGCAGAAGGUACUGCCAGAAUAGUGUGGCACCAGGGCAGCCAGACACUUCUGACAAAACCACCCGCAUGGAAGACUUGGAGGCCGCAGCCCUCCCCUAUAACCUGCCAGAUAACUGGAACACAAGCAUAAAUAUUCUAAAUGACAUGAGUAUCAGUUUCAGAAGAAUGUCAGAUAUACUUCCAUCCUCACCUCUCUAAUAUCUGAUACCCAGGAAAAGCUGUUGCAUUGGGAGAGUGUUGCCACAACAGUAAUUCACCUCCCACAAGACCACCAAGACAGAAGACAGUAUGGCUGAAAUAAAAAUUGGAAAUUAAAUAAGAUUUGAUUUGACAAAAACUUCAAAACUUCUCUCAAUAUCUACAUAGUAUUUGGAUUCAAGACAACUCAACUUCCUUGAGGAAGAAGUCCUAGCAGAACUGUGGAAUGUCAGCCUCAGGAGACACAAAGCUAAGAAUGAGGCUGAUCAAAGAACAGCAACAACUGCAGCAGUCAGUUGAUGUUGAUGUCAGCACUCCUAGCUGUUGUACUCUGUGAGUAGAGUGAAGACUGAGCAACAUUGUUCUAUUAGGCUUCUCUCCAAGAAAUCUUUCUAGUAAUUGUACAUAGGCGAACCAUUGCCCAUUCAUAAAGUAUCUCCUUAUUGAAAUUUCAAAAUUA